rnacentral:lncRNA from 1 species
AUGCCUGCCAUCCAUGACCUCCACACGCUGCGCCAAUCCUCCAGGGCCAUACAGACCUCCAUCACCGAGGUGACCGAGUUGGUGCUGGCGCUCCGCGCUGGGUUUGCGGAACAGAAUGCGGCGGUGGAGACUUCGACGACGACACCCCCUCCGCUACCCACGGUAUCAAAGGCAGAGGUGCUGCAGCCACUCGCGCCACCUUCCCCACCACGAGCAGCAGGCUCCCCACCGCCCACACUGCCGACGGCUGAGGUCCUGCAGCCACGUGCUACGGCGCCACCUGCCCCGCCAUCACCCCUGUUCGUGUCUGCCGUGGUUCUGCCACAUCUCCCCAUGGUGCUGCCGGGGCUUGCCGAGAUGCCACUGCAUCAGUCGUCGCCAUGGACGAACAUCGUGUUGCGUCGUCCUUGUUCUCCCCUGCGAGGCUGUGACCACGGUAACGAUUUACCGUCAAGAGGUUCCCUCGCGCAGUCACGCGUCCUCCAGAAGCGGCGCGCGGUUUGGUGUCAUCUCCACGGCCACCAGGUGCGGUGCGCCUGGAGGCGCAAGGCGAGGGGGCGGCGUGCAAGACGGAGGCGGUUUCGGCGUGCGCGUGGCCUCCUGACG